GUUGGGUGACUGCGUACCUUUUGUAUAAUGGGUCAGCGACUUAUAUUCUGUAGCAAGGUUAACCGUAUAGGGGAGCCGCAGGGAAACCGAGUCUUAACUGGGCGUUAAGUUGCAGGGUAUAGACCCGAAACCCGGUGAUCUAGCCAUGGGCAGGUUGAAGGUUGGGUAACACUAACUGGAGGACCGAACCGACUAAUGUUGAAAAAUUAGCGGAUGACUUGUGGCUGGGGGUGAAAGGCCAAUCAAACCGGGAGAUAGCUGGUUCUCCCCGAAAGCUAUUUAGGUAGCGCCUCGUGAACUCAUCUUCGGGGGUAGAGCACUGUUUCGGCUAGGGGGUCAUCCCGACUUACCAACCCGAUGCAAACUACGAAUACCGAAGAAUGUUAUCACGGGAGACACACGGCGGGUGCUAACGUCCGUCGUGAAGAGGGAAACAACCCAGACCGCCAGCUAAGGUCCCAAAGUCAUGGUUAAGUGGGAAACGAUGUGGGAAGGCCCAGACAGCCAGGAUGUUGGCUUAGAAGCAGCCAUCAUUUAAAGAAAGCGUAAUAGCUCACUGGUCGAGUCGGCCUGCGCGGAAGAUGUAACGGGGCUAAACCAUGCACCGAAGCUGCGGCAGCGACGCUUAUGCGUUGUUGGGUAGGGGAGCGUUCUGUAAGCCGUUGAAGGUGGCCUGUGAGGGUUGCUGGAGGUAUCAGAAGUGCGAAUGCUGACAUAAGUAACGAUAAUGCGGGUGAAAAACCCGCACGCCGGAAGACCAAGGGUUCCUGUCCAACGUUAAUCGGGGCAGGGUGAGUCGACCCCUAAGGCGAGGCCGAAAGGCGUAGUCGAUGGGAAACAGGUUAAUAUUCCUGUACUCGGUGUUACUGCGAAGGGGGGACGGAGAAGGCUAUGUUGGCCGGGCGACGGUUGUCCCGGUUUAAGCAUGUAGGCGGAUGUUCCAGGUAAAUCCGGAACGUUACUAACGCUGAGGUGUGAUGACGAGGCACUACGGUGCUGAAGUGACAAAUGCCCUGCUUCCAGGAAAAGCCUCUAAGCAUCAGGUAACAUCAAAUCGUACCCCAAACCGACACAGGUGGUCAGGUAGAGAAUACCAAGGCGCUUGAGAGAACUCGGGUGAAGGAACUAGGCAAAAUGGUGCCGUAACUUCGGGAGAAGGCACGCUGAUGGUAAGUGAAGUGACUUGCUCAUGGAGCUGAAAUCAGUCGAAGAUACCAGCUGGCUGCAACUGUUUAUUAAAAACACAGCAC
rnacentral:rRNA from 1 species